AGUGAACGCUGGCGGUAGGCCUAACACAUGCAAGUCGAACGGCAGCACAGUAAGAGCUUGCUCUUACGGGUGGCGAGUGGCGGACGGGUGAGGAAUACAUCGGAAUCUACUUUUUCGUGGGGGAUAACGUAGGGAAACUUACGCUAAUACCGCAUACGACCUACGGGUGAAAGCAGGGGAUCUUCGGACCUUUCGCGAUUGAUUGAGCCGAUGUCGGAUUAGCUAGUUGGCGGGGUAAAGGCCCACCAAGGCGACGCUCCGUAGCUGGUCUGAGAGGAUGAUCAGCCACACUGGAACUGAGACACGGUCCAGACUCCUACGGGAGGCAGAAGUGGGGAAUAUUGGACAAUGGGCGAAAGCCUGAUCCAGCCAUACCGCGUGGGUGAAGAAGGCCUUCGGGUUGUAAAGCCCUUUUGUUGGGAAAGAAAAGCAGCAGGUUAAUACCCCGCUGUUCUGACGGUACCCAAAGAAUAAGCACCGGCUAACUUCGUG
rnacentral:rRNA from 1 species